CUGUUCUCAACGGGGUGCAAAAAAAUAGACCGGUAAUUUCCAUCGCCGAUCUAAAAACGUCGCGAGCUGCGUUCAGCUGGUGUCGGCCAGCGCGGAAGAACCGGAACAUACACAAAGUAUGUGAGGAUUCUGAGCACUGCCCGACAUCAGAUCAACGCCUGCGCAGCACGUUUUUGCUGAGAGAAACCCGUCGAACCUGAUCCGGCUAACACCGGCGGAGGGAUUUGAGAGUGUACCCACG
rnacentral:ncRNA from 1 species